rnacentral:rRNA from 1 species
GACGAACGCUGGCGGCGUGCCUAAUACAUGCAAGUAGAACGCUGAAGGAGGAGCUUGCUCUUCUGGAUGAGAUGCGAACGGGUGAGUAACGCGUAGGUAACCUGCCUGGUAGCGGGGGAUAACUAUUGGAAACGAUAGCUAAUACCGCAUAAAAUUGAUUAUUGCAUGAUAGUCAAUUAAAAGGUGCAAUUGCAUCACACCAGAUGGACCUGCGUUGUAUUAGCUAGUUGGUGAGGUAACGGCUCACCAAGGCAACGAUACAUAGCCGACCUGAGAGGGUGAUCGGCCACACUGGGACUGAGACACGGCCCAGACUCCUACGGGAGGCAGCAGUAGGGAAUCUUCGGCAAUGGACGGAAGUCUGACCGAGCAACGCCGCGUGAGUGAAGAAGGUUUUCGGAUCGUAAAGCUCUGUUGUAAGAGAAGAACGAGUGUGAGAGUGGAAAGUUCACACUGUGACGGUAUCUUACCAGAAAGGGACGGCUAACUACGUG